rnacentral:rRNA from 1 species
GCUCAACCGGGGAGGGUCAUUGGAAACUGGGGAACUUGAGUGCAGAAGAGGAGAGUGGAAUUCCACGUGUAGCGGUGAAAUGCGUAGAGAUGUGGAGGAACACCAGUGGCGAAGGCGACUCUCUGGUCUGUAACUGACGCUGAGGCGCGAAAGCGUGGGGAGCGAACAGGAUUAGAUACCCUGGUAGUCCACGCCGUAAACGAUGAGUGCUAAGUGUUAGAGGGUUUCCGCCCUUUAGUGCUGCAGCAAACGCAUUAAGCACUCCGCCUGGGGAGUACGGUCGCAAGACUGAAACUCAAAGGAAUUGACGGGGGCCCGCACAAGCGGUGGAGCAUGUGGUUUAAUUCGAAGCAACACGAAGAACCUUACCAGGUCUUGACAUCCUCUGACAACCCUAGAGAUAGGGCUUCCCCUUCGGGGGCAGAGUGACAGGUGGUGCAUGGUUGUCGUCAGCUCGUGUCGUGAGAUGUUGGGUUAAGUCCCGCAACGAGCGCAACCCUUGAUCUUAGUUGCCAGCAUUCAGUUGGGCACUCUAAGGUGACUGCCGGUGACAAACCGGAGGAAGGUGGGGAUGACGUCAAAUCAUCAUGCCCCUUAUGACCUGGGCUACACACGUGCUACAAUGGGCAGAACAAAG